AGCGGCGGACGGGUGAGUAAUGCGUGGGAAUAUGCCCUUUGGUAUGGAAUAGCCCCUGGAAACGGGGAGUAAUACCGUAUGUGCCCUACGGGGAAAAGAUUUAUCGCCAAAGGAUUAGCCCAUGUUGGAUUAGCUGGUUGGUGAGGUAAAAGCUCACCAAGGCGACGAUCUAUAGCUGGUUUGAGAGGAUGAUCAGCCACACUGGGACUGAGACACGGCCCAGACUCCUACGGGAGGCAGCAGUGGGGAAUAUUAGACAAUGGGCGAAAGCCUGAUCUAGCCAUGCCGCGUGAGUGAAGAAGGCCCUAGGGUUGUAAAGCUCUUUCAGAUGUGAGGAUGAUGACAGUAACAUCAGAAGAAGCCCCGGCUAACUUCGUGCCAGCAGCUGCGGUAAUACGAAGGGGGCUAGCGU
rnacentral:rRNA from 1 species